rnacentral:rRNA from 1 species
CUCCAGACUCCUACGGGAGGCAGCAGUGGGGGAUAUUGCACAAUGGGGGGAACCCUGAUGCAGCGACGCCGCGUGGGUGAAGAAGCGCCUCGGCGCGUAAAGCCCUAUCGGCAGGGAAGAAGGAGGACGGUACCUGACUAAGAAGCCCCGGCUAACUACGUGCCAGCAGCCGCGGUAAUACGUAGGGGGCAAGCGUUAUCCGGAUUUACUGGGUGUAAAGGGGGCGCAGACGGCAGCGCAAGCCAGGAGUGAAAGCCCGGGGCCCAACCCCGGGACUGCUCUUGGAACUGCGCGGCUGGAGUGCAGGAGGGGCAGGCGGAAUUCCUGGUGUAGCGGUGAAAUGCGUAGAUAUCAGGAGGAACACCGGUGGCGAAGGCGGCCUGCUGGACAGAGACUGACGUUGAGGCUCGAAAGCGUGGGGAGCAAACAGGAUUAGAUACCCUAGUA